UACGUAGGGGGCAAGCGUUGUCCGGAAUCAUUGGGCGUAAAGAGCGUGUAGGCGGUUCGGUAAGUCGGCUGUGAAAGUCCAGGGCUCAACCCUGGGAUGCCGGUCGAUACUGCCGGACUAGAGUUCGGAAGAGGCGAGUGGAAUUCCCGGUGUAGAGGUGAAAUUCGUAGAUAUUCGGAAGAACACCAGUGGCGAAGGCGGCUCACUGGUCCGGUACUGACGCUGAGGUGCGAAAGCGUGGGGAGCAAACAGG
rnacentral:rRNA from 1 species